GUGGGGAAUAUUGGACAAUGGGCGAAAGCCUGAUCCAGCCAUGCCGCGUGUGUGAAGAAGGUCUUCGGAUUGUAAAGCACUUUAAGUUGGGAGGAAGGGCAGUAAGUUAAUACCUUGCUGUUUUGACGUUACCGACAGAAUAAGCACCGGCUAACUUCGUGCCAGCAGCCGCGGUAAUACGAAGGGUGCAAGCGUUAAUCGGAAUUACUGGGCGUAAAGCGCGCGUAGGUGGUUUUGUAAGUUGGAGGUGAAAUCCCCGGGCGCAACCUGGGAACUGCCUCCAAAACUGCAUGACUAGAGUACGGUAGAGGGUAGUGGAAUUUCCUGUGUAGCGGUGAAAGGCGUAGAUAUAGGAAGGAACACCAGUGGCGAAGGCGACUACCUGGACUGAUACUGACACUGAGGUGCGAAAGCGUGGGGAGCAAACAGGAUUAGAAACCCGAGUAGUCC
rnacentral:rRNA from 1 species